rnacentral:rRNA from 1 species
GUUAUAUGGUCAAGUGAAGAAGCGCAUACGGUGGAUGCCUUGGCAGUCAGAGGCGAUGAAAGACGUGGUAGCCUGCGAAAAGCUUCGGGGAGUCGGCAAACAGACUUUGAUCCGGAGAUCUCUGAAUGGGGGAACCCACCUAGGAUAACCUAGGUAUCUUGUACUGAAUCCAUAGGUGCAAGAGGCGAACCAGGGGAACUGAAACAUCUAAGUACCCUGAGGAAAAGAAAUCAACCGAGAUUCCCUUAGUAGUGGCGAGCGAACGGGGAUUAGCCCUUAAGCUUCAUUGAUUUUAGCGGAACGCUCUGGAAAGUGCGGCCAUAGUGGGUGAUAGCCCCGUACGCGAAAGGAUCUUUGAAGUGAAAUCGAGUAGGACGGAGCACGAGAAACUUUGUCUGAACAUGGGGGACCAUCCUCCAAGGCUAAAUACUACUGACUGACCGAUAGUGAACCAGUACCGUGAGGGAAAGGCGAAAAGAACCCCGGAGAGGGGAGUGAAAUAGAACCUGAAACCGUAUGCGUACAAGCAGUGGGAGCCUACUUGUUAGGUGACUGCGUACCUUUUGUAUAAUGGGUCAGCGACUUAUAUUCAGUGGCAAGCUUAACCGUAUAGGGUAGGCGUAGCGAAAGCGAGUCUUAAUAGGGCGUUUAGUCGCUGGGUAUAGACCCGAAACCGGGCGAUCUAUCCAUGAGCAGGUUGAAGGUUAGGUAACACUGACUGGAGGACCGAACCCACUCCCGUUGAAAAGGUAGGGGAUGACUUGUGGAUCGGAGUGAAAGGCUAAUCAAGCUCGGAGAUAGCUGGUUCUCCUCGAAAGCUAUUUAGGUAGCGCCUCAUGUAUCACUCUGGGGGGUAGAGCACUGUUUCGGCUAGGGGGUCAUCCCGACUUACCAAACCGAUGCAAACUCCGAAUACCCAGAAGUGCCGAGCAUGGGAGACACACGGCGGGUGCUAACGUCCGUCGUGAAAAGGGAAACAACCCAGACCGCCAGCUAAGGUCCCAAAGUUGUGGUUAAGUGGUAAACGAUGUGGGAAGGCUUAGACAGCUAGGAGGUUGGCUUAGAAGCAGCCACCCUUUAAAGAAAGCGUAAUAGCUCACUAGUCGAGUCGGCCUGCGCGGAAGAUGUAACGGGGCUCAAACCACACACCGAAGCUGCGGGUGUCACGUAAGUGACGCGGUAGAGGAGCGUUCUGUAAGCCUGUGAAGGUGAGUUGAGAAGCUUGCUGGAGGUAUCAGAAGUGCGAAUGCUGACAUGAGUAACGACAAUGGGUGUGAAAAACACCCACGCCGAAAGACCAAGGGUUCCUGCGCAACGUUAAUCGACGCAGGGUUAGUCGGUUCCUAAGGCGAGGCUGAAAAGCGUAGUCGAUGGGAAACAGGUUAAUAUUCCUGUACUUCUGGUUACUGCGAUGGAGGGACGGAGAAGGCUAGGCCAGCUUGGCGUUGGUUGUCCAAGUUUAAGGUGGUAGGCUGAAAUCUUAGGUAAAUCCGGGGUUUCAAGGCCGAGAGCUGAUGACGAGUCGUCUUUUAGAUGACGAAGUGGUUGAUGCCAUGCUUCCAAGAAAAGCUUCUAAGCUUCAGGUAACCAGGAACCGUACCCCAAACCGACACAGGUGGUCGGGUAGAGAAUACCAAGGCGCUUGAGAGAACUCGGGUGAAGGAACUAGGCAAAAUGGCACCGUAACUUCGGGAGAAGGUGCGCCGGCUAGGGUGAAGGAUUUACUCCGUAAGCUCUGGCUGGUCGAAGAUACCAGGCCGCUGCGACUGUUUAUUAAAAACACAGCACUCUGCAAACACGAAAGUGGACGUAUAGGGUGUGACGCCUGCCCGGUGCCGGAAGGUUAAUUGAUGGGGUUAGCGCAAGCGAAGCUCUUGAUCGAAGCCCCGGUAAACGGCGGCCGUAACUAUAACGGUCCUAAGGUAGCGAAAUUCCUUGUCGGGUAAGUUCCGACCUGCACGAAUGGCGUAACGAUGGCGGCGCUGUCUCCACCCGAGACUCAGUGAAAUUGAAAUCGCUGUGAAGAUGCAGUGUAUCCGCGGCUAGACGGAAAGACCCCGUGAACCUUUACUGUAGCUUUGCACUGGACUUUGAGCCUGCUUGUGUAGGAUAGGUGGGAGGCUUUGAAGCGUGGACGCCAGUUCGCGUGGAGCCAUCCUUGAAAUACCACCCUGGCAUGCUUGAGGUUCUAACUCUGGUCCGUAAUCCGGAUCGAGGACAGUGUAUGGUGGGCAGUUUGACUGGGGCGGUCUCCUCCUAAAGAGUAACGGAGGAGUACGAAGGUGCGCUCAGACCGGUCGGAAAUCGGUCGCAGAGUAUAAAGGCAAAAGCGCGCUUGACUGCGAGACAGACACGUCGAGCAGGUACGAAAGUAGGUCUUAGUGAUCCGGUGGUUCUGUAUGGAAGGGCCAUCGCUCAACGGAUAAAAGGUACUCCGGGGAUAACAGGCUGAUACCGCCCAAGAGUUCAUAUCGACGGCGGUGUUUGGCACCUCGAUGUCGGCUCAUCACAUCCUGGGGCUGAAGCCGGUCCCAAGGGUAUGGCUGUUCGCCAUUUAAAGUGGUACGCGAGCUGGGUUUAGAACGUCGUGAGACAGUUCGGUCCCUAUCUGCCGUGGACGUUUGAGAUUUGAGAGGGGCUGCUCCUAGUACGAGAGGACCGGAGUGGACGAACCUCUGGUGUUCCGGUUGUCACGCCAGUGGCAUUGCCGGGUAGCUAUGUUCGGAAAAGAUAACCGCUGAAAGCAUCUAAGCGGGAAACUUGCCUCAAGAUGAGAUCUCACUGGGAACUUGAUUCCCCUGAAGGGCCGUCGAAGACUACGACGUUGAUAGGCUGGGUGUGUAAGCGUUGUGAGGCGUUGAGCUAACCAGUACUAAUUGCCCGUGAGGCUUGACCAUAUAACACCCAAACA